GAUUUGAGAGGAUGAUCAGCCACAUUGGGACUGAGACACGGCCCAAACUCCUACGGGAGGCAGCAGUGGGGAAUCUUGCACAAUGGAGGAAACUCUGAUGCAGCGAUGCCGCGUGAGUGAAGAAGGCCUUUGGGUUGUAAAGCUCUUUCGUCGGGGAAGAAAAUGACUGUACCCGAAUAAGAAGGUCCGGCUAACUUCGUGCCAGCAGCCGCGGUAAUACGAAGGGACCUAGCGUAGUUCGGAAUUACUGGGCUUAAAGAGUUCGUAGGUGGUUGAAAAAGUUGGUGGUGAAAUCCCAGAGCUUAACUCUGGAACUGCCAUCAAAACUUUUCAGCUAGAGUAUGAUAGAGGAAAGCAGAAUUUCUAGUGUAGAGGUGAAAUUCGUAGAUAUUAGAAAGAAUACCAAUUGCGAAGGCAGCUUUCUGGAUCAUUACUGACACUGAGGAACGAAAGCAUGGGUAGCGAAGAGGAUUAGAUACCCUCGUAGUCCAUGCCGUAAACGAUGUGUGUUAGACGUUGGAAAUUUAUUUUCAGUGUCGCAGCGAAAGCGAUAAACACACCGCCUGGGGAGUACGACCGCAAGGUUAAAACUCAAAUGAAUUGACGGGGACCCGCACAAGUAGUGGAGCAUGUGGUUUAAUUCGAAGAUACGCGCAGAACCUUACCAACACUUGACAUGUUCGUCGCGACUUUAAGAGAUUAAAGUUUUCGGUUCGGCCGGACGAAACACAGGUGCUGCAUGGCUGUCGUCAGCUCGUGUCGUGAGAUGUUGGGUUAAGUCCCGCAACGAGCGCAACCCUCACUUUUAGUUGCCAUCAUUAAGUUGGGCACUCUGAAAGAACUGCCAGUGAUAAGCUGGAGGAAGGUGGGGAUGACGUCAAGUCCUCAUGGCCCUUAC
rnacentral:rRNA from 1 species